rnacentral:tRNA from 1 species
AAGGAUUUAAGUUAAAAUAAACUUGUAGUCUUCAAAACUGCCUAUAAAGUCCCUCUUUAAGCCUUA